rnacentral:rRNA from 1 species
AUACGGAGGAUCCGAGCGUUAUCCGGAUUUAUUGGGUUUAAAGGGUGCGCAGGCGGGAGAUUAAGUCGGCGGUGAAAUUUUGCAGCUCAACUGUAAAAGUGCCUUCGAAACUGGUUUCCUUGAGUGUAGAUGAAGUAGGCGGAAUUUGUGGUGUAGCGGUGAAAUGCAUAGAUAUCACGAGGAACUCCGAUUGCGCAGGCAGCUUACUAAACUGCUACUGACGCUCAGGCACGAAGGCGUGGGGAUCAAACAGGAUUAGAUACCCUGGUAGUCCACGCAGUAAACGAUGAUUACUAGCUGUUUGCGAUACAAUGUAAGCGGCUGAGCGAAAGCGCUAAGUAAUCCACCUGGGGAGUACGUUCGCAAGAAUGAAACUCAAAUGAAUUGACGGGG